AUUGAACGCUGGCGGCAGGCCUAACACAUGCAAGUCGAGCGAGAGGCGGACGGGGGAGAAAUGUCUGGGAAACUGCCUGAUGGAGGGGGAGAACAACAGGAAAAGGUAGAUAAUACAGCACACCAUCAGAUGUGCCCAGAUGGGAUUAGCUAGUAGGUGGGGUAACGGCUCACCUAGGCGACGAUCCCUAGCUGGUCUGAGAGGAGGACCAGCCACACUGGAACUGAGACACGGUCCAGACUCCUACGUGAGGCAGCAGUGGGGAAUAUUGCACAAUGGGCGCAAGCCUGAUGCAGCCAUGCCGCGUGUGUGAAGAAGGCCUUCGGGUUGUAAAGCACUUUCAGCGGGGAGGCGUUACCCGCAGAAGAAGCACCGGCUAACUCCGUGCCAGCAGCCGCGGUAAUAC
rnacentral:rRNA from 1 species